rnacentral:rRNA from 1 species
UACGUAGGGGGCUAGCGUUGUCCGGAAUCAUUGGGCGUAAAGCGCGUGUAGGCGGCCCGGUAAGUCCGCUGUGAAAGUCCAGGGCUCAACCCUGGGAUGCCGGUGGAUACUGUCGGGCUCGAGUCCGGAAGAGGCGAGUGGAAUUCCUGGUGUAGCGGUGAAAUGCGCAGAUAUCAGGAGGAACACCAAUGGCGAAGGCAGCUCGCUGGGACGUGACUGACGCUGCGACGCGAAAGCGUGGGGAGCAAACAGG